GUCCCGUGUUCAGGAGCAUUCCCUUGCACUGAGCUUAUAGAAAAGGUAAGAAUGACUUAAAGUGUGUGCAUGACACACGAUUAAGCUUUUCAAUGUGUAUGGUGCAUAGAUAAGCUUUUUCCAUUUCCAUUUUUUAUUGUCAAAACCUAUAAUUUCGUCUCCCUGUUCCAAGUUCAGUGUCUUAUGAGGACAUCCAUCCUUCUUCUUGUUGUUACUCCAUAGGGGAAACCUUAUUGCUCUCUACAACUACCUAUAAAGGAGGUUGUAGCAUGGAGGGUGUUGGUCUCGCAAGCAGCAAGUGAUAGGACAAGAAGAAGUAGCCUUAAGUUGCACCAGGGAAGGCUUAGAUUGGGUAUCAGGAAAAAAUUCUUUAUGGACAGCAUCAUCAGGCAUUGGAACAGGCUGCCCAGGGCAGUGGUGGAGUCACCAUCCCUGGAGGGGUUUAAAAGACAUUUAGGUGAGGUUCUUAGGGACAAGGUUUAGUGCUAGGUUAUGGUUGGACCUGGUGAUCCUGAGGGUCUCUUCCAACUGAAAUUAUUCUAUGAUCCUGACCCAAAUUUGAGCUUUGAGCAUGGGUGAAGACCAAAGAAAAGAGGGGUGAUGGUUUUAAACUAAAAUAGGGGAGAUUCAGGCUGGACAUGAGGAAGGAAUUGUUGGCCCUGAGGGUGGUGAGAGCCUGGCCCAGGGUGGCCAGAGAGGUGGUGGAUGAACCAUCCCUGGAGACAUCCCAGGCCAGGCUGGACGGGGCUCUGAGCAACCUGAGCUGGUGAAGAUGUCCCUGCUCAUGGCAGGGGGGGCACUGGGGGAGCUGGGAACGUCCCUCCAACCCAAACUGUUCUGUGAUUCUAUAAUGUUGAGAUGUCAUUAAUGAAUAUUCUUGAAAACCUGUCUGGAAACUUGCUUUUUGCUGAUAUACUUGGUAUAAUCCCCAAAUAUGUCAAUAUUAGUUCAUAUUGCACAUGGCCAUUCUUAGCCUGACCAGCAGGCUGUAGAGAACUUUUUGUCUGCUCUGCUGUGAAGUCAAUGGGAGUUUUGCUAUCGGCUUGAAAGGGACCAGGAUGAAUCAAGAGUUUUAUAUUGCAUUUUCAGAUUCUUUUUAUUUUAAUAGACACCUUGUUUCCCAUAAGAAGGUUGUGGUGUGUCUAGAGACUUGCUUUGCUAGAAUACCAGCGCUGCAUAAUUUUCCCACUUCACUGUGUGUUUUCCAUUUCUGCACUACUCGUUAAGCUGUGGGCUGUGGUUUUAAUCUUGUGUAGGAGAUUCUUAUUUUCUGACACAGAAGUGAGAGAGACCUUCAGUGUACGCUUGCGCGCGUGCUCUUGAAAAGGCACCAGUUUGGCUUUCCAGGUUUCUUUGCCCAACACUCAGUCACAACAUUGUCAGCAGCAGCAGGGCAUGAGGUUUCUCUUCAGGUAGGACAAUGAUGCACAAUUCAGACAACAGCUUCUGGUUUGUGGCAUUCCUGUGCUGCUCUUAGGCAUGUACCGGGGCAUUAGUUCAGGUUCUUUGUCCUAAAGGAGGAAAAUAUAGCUCAAAGGGCCCCCAUCAGCCCCCACUUGUAAAAUACAGGCUACGCAAGUAGGACAGCCAUGCAAGUAGGACACUUCUGAUUCCCUUUUAUGCAAAAUCUUGAGAUAUAUUUUGCUUUCUUCACGUCAUUUCUCUCUUUUAUGGUAUAUGGCUCGCAGAUGAUUUGCAAGGAGUUGUUGCACCCGUGUUUCCAAAGCAGAAAGGCUUUCUUGGCCAAAGCUCCCUCAGCCCAACAGUUGAAUGAUGUAUUACUGAAACACGGGGUGGGUUUAAUUUCCUGCUAAAAUGGAAUAUGUCCUAAUGCUGGUGAGUGCACUUUUUCCUGUUAGAAGAAGAAGUAAUUGAAUGUUUGCUGUUUUAUAAAUAGGAAGUUUUUUUUUCUCAUUUAUCUAUAAAGAACCACGCCUGAAUGAUACCUUGCUCACCACUCAUUUAUUUUCCUGGUAGUAUAUAAAACUGAAGUCCUUGCCACACUGGGCUGCUGAAGAUCCUUGUUCAGCUCUUGCAGGAUCAGAGGCAACAAAUCUGGAGACCCAUUGAAGCUCCAGCACUUACAAACACUGUGCAGACCCGAAUCCUCCUGGAGCAGCAAUCCCACAGGUACUGCGGUGAGAGUCCCCAGGGCAGAUGCUGAACACGAUAUUAAUGUGGUGGUUGUACUGGUUUGGAUGAGCAACACAUUGAGUUUCUGCUCCUUUGUGUAAGGCACUUUUAAUUCAGAUUUAUCUCAAAGCAAAGUCUAAGAUGUUAACUGCUGGGUCUUAGCAAUGAAGUAGUAAAAUCUUAAUAUGUUUGUUUCGGGCAGAUGUUGCAUCUGUUUUUCGUUCCUAACCUCGUCCAUCUAUUUCUUUCAUCUCAAAGCAUCCUAUAUUUGACCAGUCUUGACUCUGAAGGAAGCAUCUCAAUGAUUACUAUGCAUGGGAAUAAUUGUACAUCCAUGGACUGGGCUUUGAUGUUCCUCAGUGGUUAUAUACAUACUGCCAGAUAUGAAUAUUAUUUUGCAAAGUUAGAUGUAAUAAUAUUUUCUUUGUCAGCAGCGUCCAAAACUUAAAAGUGAGUUCUUUUGAAAUAGAAAAAUCCAAAUCAUUUUUAUUGCAUAUGGUGUCUUGAUCUUGGGUACCCAUCUCAUCGGGCAAAUGAAGAUUAUAUGGGUGGAGUGAUGCAUUUGUUAUUAAAGUAAUGAAGAUUGGGAUGUAUCAUGUACACAUUUAAAGACACAGUGCAGUAAUCACAUACCAUAGUCUAUAGAAACUGUUAGAAGAUGUAUGAUAUUACAUCAGAAAAUGUAAUUCCACUGGCUUUAUUUCAACCAUAAAUUGCUCUUGCUGAAAUUAACCUCCAGAGAAAAAGAACCGUUCCGGGUCCAGCUCUAAAACUAUAUUUUGACUGUAUUGUAGUCAAAGGUGGGCGAAACUCUGUUCUUGGCUAUGCUGCGCUCAGCCGAAACAAUACUUAAAAGUCCUAUUUGAAAAGGAAAGGGAAAAUAAUAAUAAUAAAGAAACCCAAUUAGAAAAAGCCAAAACCCCCAAACCCCUCAGUUUAGUUUAGUUUUGAGGACUGUACAAGCAAGGGAUGAGCAAUAGGAUCUUCUCCAGCCACAACUGUUCUAAAAAACCGGGAGGUUCCUGGAAACGCGUGUUGACACGAGGCGAUGGGCUGCUAACCUUAUAUUUCGGUCUUGGCUUGCCUUCUCUCCCCUUGUACAAACAGAAAUCUCAUCUUUCUCUCCAUGGUUGCUCCUAAAGCCCAAGAUAAACGAAGACCCCCUUGCUUUUCAGGGUAAGCUACGCAUGAAGAACAUCACACCCCGUCCCCUCCAUCAUCAGCCACGUGCUGUGGUUAAAUGGGUGCUGAGGGAUAUUUCCUAAUACUUUCUUCAUUUGUGUAAUGUUAUUUCUCUUGUCCGUAUCAAAUAGCAUGAAUUUUUUUGGUUAGCAGGCCAGCUUCCAAACCCUUCAUGAAGGUCAGGUAGCGACUUGUAACGUGCCUUCAAUAGGAAGAGAUGUGUUAUUUGCAGGAGAGUCCUAUUCCCAGUAGUUAUAAUUACAUAUAAUUACGAAAUAAUUUAUAUAUGUAUAUAAUUAUUGCAUAAUUAUAUACAUAUAUAAAUUAAAGCUGCAGUGUGAUUAUAUCACAGCUAGGCUGACAGUUAAUUGUAGAUAGUUACUAUUAAUACAUAAAAGGAACAGCAAAAUGUUGUGUAGAAUAAGAUUUCUGAAUGCUUCAGUAAAUCAAACCAGUUUUUACACUAUUUACCACUCUCAGGACUUAUGAAGGAUCGAUCAUGGAUCAUUUUUUUGCUCCUGGAUAAUUUGUUCAAAAGAUCUGGGGUCAGGUAUCUUCCCAAAAUAGCGUCACUGACAGAAGCUUUUCUUCUGAUCUACGUUGGAAACUGAUGACUCCAUAAAAUGGGAAAGCAAAGAUUGAAACUCGCCUGGUGUUUUUUUGGCUGUUAGUGCUUAUUCACUGAGGAAUCCCCUGAAAAUGUAACUGAGAGCAUAUGCUGAAGUUUCAUUGAUUUGAAAGCUGAAGUCACACAAUUGAAUGUUAUUUCUGAGUCAAAGUGGCUUUUGUGAACCCGCAGUCAGGGCACCAAAACCCAUAAGGACGUUGGUGUCCAUCACCUGUAUCUCUUGGCUCUUCUCAAGUUGGACCAGUGGAGGUUGAGGUUGGAUCUUGGGAACAAUUUCUUCCCCAAAGGGCUGUUGGGCAUUGGAACAGGCUGCCCAGGGCAGUGCUGGAGUCACCAUCCCUGGAGGGGUUGAAGAGAUGGAGAUGAGGUUCUCAGGGACAUGGGGUGGAGAUGGACUUGGUAGUGUUGGGUUAAUGGUUGAACUGGAUGAUCUUAAAGGUCUUUUCCAACCUAAACAAUUCUCUGACUCUAUGGUGGUGUGGGCAAGACUAUCCAUCAGCCCCAUUUUUGUUUUGGUUUUUUAAGUUUUGUGACAUUAAUAGAAGUAAAAAGCUCCUGUGAGGACCUUCAUGGGGCUGGAUGGUGCUGCAGUGCGGUGGGUGCCAAGUUCAUUCCCUGGUCCCUCCAUCAGAGCACGGAGCAGCGCUGCCUCCCUGCCCAUCACCCCAGCACCUCCGCACCCCCAGGACAUCCUUCGUUGUCUCCUCAUCAUCUCCACCGCCCUACUCCUGAAAACACCCUGAUGUGUAAUGAUCGUUCCCUUCGGGCUCGCCGCUCGCUCCGUGCCAGCUGACGUCUGGGUCGUCCCAUGCUGGAAGAGGAAGCUGCUGCUCGUAAAGAAACUUGCUGAGCACGCAGGUUUCUUCCCCAGCUGUGCCGUUGUUAGGAAGCCGUGGUGGGGACGGUGGUGGCCAGCGCGGUGGUCGGCCUCUUCUGACAGUCACUUGUGGCAAUCGCUCCAUCUGCAAUAAAUUUGGCAUCAAAACCUGAAAGUCACGAAGGAAGAGGCUGUGACGGGUCAGAGCCUUUCGCACCGCUGAGAAUUGGGGCAGCCAGUGGAAGGAAAAUAUGGCAAAGUUUGACCUCCCAUGCGAGAUGGUUGAUGUUCAAUGGGGAGGAGGAACCAAAAGGAGGAUACAGGAGACUCAAAAAGUGGGAGCGAUACCCAGGAACAGCUUUGCUGCCGUACACACCAGUGUGACACCUCGGGACACAGAGCCAAGGAGAUGCAGUUACCCAGAAACACGCUUUGCCUUUAAAAAAAGAAACAAAAAACUCCCUAAGGAUGCAAGGAGGAAAACCAGCAGUCGGUGACCCGAAGAACUCGUUCUCUUCAGCAAGUUCUAGGCACUUCGCAAGGAACAAAACUCACCCACCGCCCCAAAAACAGGAACCUGGUGGAGGUGAUGCUGGAGAUGACGCUGAGGACGACAUGGGGGCGGCCUUGGGCAGGGGAUGGAGACAGAACUAUUGGUGUCCCGUGUCCCUCCUCCUGCACACCGCUAAUUGACACAGCUGCUAACGGGGAACCCAGCCUGACGGCAGAGAGGUGAGUAAUUACCAUAUGUAAUGUAUUUAAUAUGCUGCUUAGAUUUUUUAACUUUUAUUUCUGAGUCAUUUAAAUAUUUUGCCUAGACAACAAAAACAUGUAAUUUAAUAUAUAUAUAUAUAUAUAUAUAAAAUAAAUAUAUUUUAUGUAUCUAUAUCUAUUUUAU